rnacentral:rRNA from 1 species
ACGAACGCUGGCGGCGUGCUUAACACAUGCAAGUCGAACGGUGAAGCGCCUUCCUUUUUGGUGGGUGUGGAUGAGUGGCGAACGGGUGAGUAACACGUGAGUAACCUGCCCCCUUCUUCUGGAUAACCGCAUGAAAGUGUGGCUAAUACGGGAUAUUCUGGGUCUGUCGCAUGAUGGGUCUGGGAAAGAUAUUGUUUCGGUGGGGGAUGGGCUCGCGGCCUAUCGGCUUGGUGGUGGGGUGAUGGCCUACCAAGGCGGUGACGGGUAGCCGGCCUGAGAGGGUGGACGGUCACACUGGGACUGAGACACGGCCCAGACUCCUACGGGAGGCAGCAGUGGGGAAUAUUGCACAAUGGGCGCAAGCCUGAUGCAGCGACGCCGCGUGAGGGAUGGAGGCCUUCGGGUUGUGAACCUCUUUCGCCAGUGAAGCAGGCCUGCCUCGUUUGUGGGUGGGUUGACGGUAGCUGGAUAAGAAGCGCCGGCUAACUACGUG